GAUGAAGAACGUAGCGAAAUGCGAUAAUUAAUGUGAAUUGCAGAAUUCCGUGAAUCAUCGAGUCUUUGAACGCAUAUUGCGCCCAAUGGCAUUCCGUGAGGCAUGCCCAUCUCAGCGUUAGAAAAUAUUCUCAAAUUUUAGUUUUCUGCUAAAAUUUGGAUCAUGUCAAGGAAGCUAUUACUAUUAUUGUGAUCACUCUUUGGAAAUUGAUAGGUCUGUGAGUUGCUACUCAUAGAACGUGAUGAAUCUUUCUUCCUUCCAUUGUAAUUCACUCUGGUAGUUCUAAAACUUGUAUGCCUGGGGCAUAUCUUGUAAUUUGAUUUGAGAUUGGGUAGGGAUACCCGCUGAACUUAAGCAUAUCAAUAAGCGGAGGA
rnacentral:misc_RNA from 1 species